rnacentral:rRNA from 1 species
GAUGAACGCUAGCGGCAGGCUUAAUACACGCAAGUCGAGGGACAGCACAGGUAGCAAUACUGGGUGGUAACCGGCAAACGGGUGCGGAACACGUACACAACCUUCCUUUAAGUGGGGGAUAGCCCAGAGAAAUUUGGAUUAAUACCCCGUAAUAGAGUUGAAUGGCAUCAUUUGAUUAUUAUAGCUACGGCGCUUAAUGAUGGGUGUGCGGCGGAUUAGAUAGUUGGCGGGGUAACGGCCCACCAAGUCUACGAUCAGUAGCUGAUGUGAGAGCAUGAUCGGCCACACGGGCACUGAGACACGGGCCCGACUCCUACGGGAGGCAGCAGUAAGGAAUAUUGGUCAAUGGACGCAAGUCUGAACCAGCCAUGCCGCGUGAAGGAUUAAGGUCCUCUGGAUUGUAAACUUCUUUUAUUUGGGACGAAAAAGGGCCUUUCUAGGUCAACUGACGGUACCAGAUGAAUAAGCACCGGCUAACUCCGUGCCAGCCGCCGCCGUAAGAC